rnacentral:rRNA from 1 species
UGGGGAAUAUUGGACAAUGGGCGCAAGCCUGAUCCAGCCAUGCCGCGUGAGUGAUGAAGGCCUUAGGGUUGUAAAGCUCUUUCGCGCGCGACGAUAAUGACGGUAGCGCGAGAAGAAGCCCCGGCUAACUUCGUGCCAGCAGCCGCGGUAAUACGAAGGGGGCUAGCGUUGUUCGGAAUCACUGGGCGUAAAGCGCAUGCAGGCGGAUCGUUAAGUCGGGGGUGAAAUCCCGAGGCUCAACCUCGGAUCUGCCUUCGAUACUGGCGAUCUUGAGUCCGGGAGAGGUGAGUGGAACUGCGAGUGUAGAGGUGAAAUUCGUAGAUAUUCGCAAGAACACCAGUGGCGAAGGCGGCUCACUGGCCCGGUACUGACGCUCAGGUGCGAAAGCGUGGGGAGCAAACA